rnacentral:lncRNA from 1 species
GCGGCCUUACCAAGCGGCAGGCCCUUGUUGAGCAAGUGCGAGCUGCCCAUCGAGAGGCGCGAGCGGCCGCGGGCCCCGACCACUCCGGCGCGCUGCGCCGCCGCGAGCCCGGCGCGUGGGGCGGCCUCGGCGCCGUCCGCUGCUCCGCCCGCCCGCCUGCGCCUGGCCGCCGCCGUGCCGAGUCUCCGCCGCGCCGCUGAGCCGCGCUCCGACGACCGCGCGGGCGGGGACACGGCGGCGCGCGCGGGCGGGGCCUCGCGGUUGGUCUCCUGGUUCCCAGCGCGGGCGGCGCACGGACUCACGCGGGCGGCUCAGGGCCCGCCCGGCCGGGACGCGGCUGCGGGGCGGGGCGGGGCGGGAGCCUGGCGGGAAGCUCGCGGGGCUGCAGCCCGGCGGAGGCCCCGGGCCUGGUGUUCCGCACGUUCUAAACCGCCUGUCCCCGAGGAAGUCGGGCAGGGUCGGGCCGGACUCAGCGCCGCUGGCGGGAGCGCCGUCCGCCCCGAGGACCCUGCGGGCCCGGAAGCCGAGACAGGGCCGCCCACGUCAGCGCCUGGCGCGGGCCCGAACAAACCACGGCAUGGAGACGGAAUGAUGCAGACUCCUAUCCGCGAGAUACCUGCUGUAAUUUCGCUGUGGUUCGUGAGGACGCGUCCUGGGCUGCCCUGAGAAGCCUACGUCUCCCCUUCGAGGCCCGGGAAGACCUCCAACCCCGCUGACAAUGCUGGGCCCUCAGCCAGACCUGCCCUGCGUGCCACGUUCUGUUCUAAGAUCGGGCUGCCGAGCUGUGGCCUGGAGGAAACCUGGCAGGUGGGGCUGCCAUGAGCAGCAAGCUCAGUCCAGAAGAACAGUUCCUCUCCAGGAUCCACUUCCUGCGCACUUUUAUGUGCAGUGUAGCUGGAGCAGAGCUCCCCGGAAUUCCACAGGCAACUGAGAACGGAGAGGGAUGCAGGCCAGCCAGGGAUCCAGCGUCUUCCCCAUCGUCACUCUCCAUGGCCUCCGUCUACACACAGUGUUCGUCUGCACAGCUUGUCAGCGCGUUAUCAUGACUUCUAUUUGGCACCGGCCCGUCUGUCCACUGUCCUGGCUUGUUCCAAGCGCUGCCUUCUCCAACUGGGGUCCUGGCUGCAGAGCUGUCUGCUCCCCACGUUGGGCAACUCCAGCCAAGAUUCCUACACCCAAAUGUGACCGUGUUGCUCACGAAGAAGGCUCAGCUUUGCGUGUGCCCAGCCGUGUGCACAGCUCGUCCCAACUCCUGCGGGUGGCACCUGCCUCUCCCACCUCCAGUCUUUCCCCUGUGAUGAGCAGAUGACCACCGCCCUCCAGGGUCAGCGUUUGGCUGUUUGUGUGCCUGCCCACCCGCCUCCCUGUGCCUGGGCCUGCCCUGUGCCUGCACACAGGAGUGGCUCAUGGCGUUUGCCCUACACGGAUGGGCUGUCCUGGGAGCUACUGGACAGUCACCUUGGUGGGAAUGCCAGAGGCAUGGGCAUUAGGUCCCCCCGGCCAGCCUCCGUUGCCACAUGGGCUAUUUUUGUCCAUCGCGUGGGACAACCUAGUAUUGGGGGAAAACUCAGUCCACUCUAAAGAAGCAUCGGCGUUUUGGAUGGACGAAUGCUGCUUCAUGCGACUCCAUGUCAAUGGACUAUUUUAUUCAACUCGGGUAUUUAUGAGUGUCUCCUCUGUGCCAGCCACGUGUGAAAGAAGAACUCCAAGUUACUGGACACCAGGACAAACCAGGUAGAUCACUGCAUCCGGUUCCUCCUCUUUCUGCCGACUCUCCCGGGCAACCGUUCUGAUUCCUGGCAUGGAGUUGGGGGCGAGCUCAUCAGUACCCAGAGCGCCUGGUGUGCAGCCAAAGGCCCCCAUUUUAUUAGUCGGUGUGUUCAGUAUCACGCUCAAGACAAGGGCCAACCUAUUACUUCACACACCUCAAAUACAAAAAGUGCCUGGGAACGUCGAUGAGGUAUUAAAGGAAACCACUGGUCUUGUCAGUCAUGUACACACAGAAAAAAAAACCAGUCAUUUUUAUUUUUAUUUUUUGAGACAGAGUUUCGCUCUUGUUGCCCAGGCUGGAGUGCAAUGGUGCAAUUUCAGCUCACUGCAAUCUCUGCCACCCGGAUUCAAGCAAUUCUCCUGUCUCAGCCUCCCGAGUAGCUGGAAUUGCAGACACCCAUCACCACGCCCAGCUAAUUUUAUGUAUUUUUAGUAGAGAUGGGGUUUCACCAUGUUGGUCAGGCUGGUCUUGAACUCCUGACCUCAGGUGAUCCACCCACGUCAGGCUCCCAAAGUGCUGAGAUUACAGGCAUGAACCACUGUGCCCAGCCGAAAACAACCAAGAAUUUUUUAACAAUAAAAUGACCAGCAAGUAAACUUGAAACAAAAAUGGACAAAUAUCUAAAAUAUUUUUAAAUGUAUGUAUUUUAAUUGGCAAAUAAUACUUGUAUAUAUUGUUUACAACUUGUUUUAAAGUAUGAAUACAUUGUGGAAU